rnacentral:rRNA from 1 species
UACGUAGGGUGCGAGCGUUAAUCGGAUUUACUGGGCGUAAAGCGUGCGCAGGCGGCCCGUUAAGACAGGUGUGAAAUCCCUGGGCUCAACCUAGGAAUUGCGCUUGUGACUGGAGGGCUCGAGUACGGUAGAGGGGGGUGGAAUUCCUGGUGUAGCGGUGAAAUGCGUAGAGAUCAGGAGGAACACCGAUGGCGAAGGCAGCCCCCUGGGCCUGUACUGACGCUCAUGCACGAAAGCGUGGGGAGCAAACAGG